rnacentral:ribozyme from 12 species
AUCAAAAAUGAAAAAAAAAGAAGAAGAAAAAAAAAAAAAAAAAACUGUCAUCAAUUACUAAGUUUCCAUUUCUUCACCAAUCUCUUUUGAACUUCCAUUUUCUGGUUCAAUCUUUUCAUUUG